AUGUUGUUUAACAUCAUGUUUUACGAGUUAGGAUAUUAUUUGGAGCUUGCUAUAAUUUCUCCCUAAUUUUGGUAAUAUUUCAUGAUUUUUGUAGGGAAUCAAAAGAUGAGAUAAGAAGUUGGUUCAACUUAUUGGAUGAUGAUUCACAUUCAAUUUGACUCCAACUCAUUGAGCUUGAACCAAAUCAAAUUCCUCUCACCAAACCCUAAACCUCAUUUGAACCCAACCUAAACCCACUGUUCACCCGGUUAAAAAACAAGUAUAAAACCCAAUUUCUUCGCGGAUGAACAGUGGCUUGCGCUACUGUUCAUCCGCGACUUCCUUCCUUCCGCGCUAUUGCAGCCCCCAUCCUCUUCCAGAUCUACUUCUCAGCAAGUUUCAUUGGCGUCGGAGCUUUCAUCCGUUGGCUUCCAAGAUUAGAUUGUCUGCACGCGCCGACAAUUAUCCCUCCGGAGCUCAGAUCUGUGAGCAAUUUCUCUGUUUCAGCCAUCAGCAGAGGAAUUUCUCCGUUGAUAGUGGCUCGCCCUCAAUCUGAGAGUAUCGAUCCAGAGAAUUUAGAUUUCAGAUCUGCAGAAUUUCAAACUUGCAGUUCAGCUCGUCAUCAGCUUUUCCAGAGAAUCCAGCUCAUCAGAUCUGCAGAAUUCUUUGGUGCUGAAGGAGAUUGAACUGAGUUCAAUGGUUGAUAGCUUUUCCUUCAAGUCCGAAGUCCUCGUGUAAUAAGUUACUUGAUCUUGAUCCAGAAAUUGAAAGAACCUUCAGAGCUUUGAGAAUUCAAGAAAAAAAUUCAGAGGACUCAAGAAGUUCUUUAUCAUCUUCAGAUACCCCCAUGGUUGAUCAUAGCAGAACAAUGAAGGAGCUUGCAUCUCCUGAUGAGGCUUUCAAGUAUUCUUACAUUACUUAUCCAGACUUGGCAGGAGACUUCGAGCUUAGAUCUGGUUUGAUUCAUCUGCUUCCUAAAUAUCAAGGAUUGUCUGGAGAAGACCCAAAUAGACAUUUGCAUGAAUUCCAUGUGGUGUGUUCAACCAUGAAGCCACAGGGUAUUUCAGAAGAAGAUAUCAAGCUAAGGGCUUUUCCAUUUUCAUUAACUAGAGUAGCUAAAGAUUGGUUGUAUUAUUUGCCACCAGGAUAUAUCACUUCUUGGAUUGAUAUGAAGAAGACUUUCUUGGAGAAAUUCUUUCCAGCUUCAAGGACUGCAAUUAUCAGGAAAAGUAUCUGUGGGAUUCAGCAAGUGGUGGGAGAGACAUUAUACGAUUAUUGGGAGCGAUUCAAGAAAUUAUGUUCAAGUUGUCCUCAACACCAGAUCAGUGAGCAGCUACUAGUCCAAUACUUCUAUGAGGGUUUACUACCUAUGGACAGGAGUAUAAUAGAUGCAGCAGCUCGAGGAGCUUUAGUGAACAAGACUCCAGAACAAGCUAGGGAGCUUAUUUCAAACAUAGCAGAAAAUUCACAACAAUUUAGAAGUAGAGCUUUCACAACAAGAGGGGUUGGAGAGGUUUAAAUGGUUUCCAAUGAACAAAAGGAGAUAAGAAGCUCAUUGUUGGAGUUAACAUAUUUGGUGAAGCAAUUGGCAUUAAACAAUGCUAAUCAAGUUUCUAUUUUGCCAAGCACACAGUUUCCGUAUCAAUCAAAGGGAGUUUGUGGCAUUUGUUCAAGCCAAGACCACAAUUCAGAGUAGUGCCCAAAUCUUCAUCAAGAUGAGUCAGUAGCAGCAUUUUCUAGAGCUCAAUUUCCUCAAAAAUAUGACCCCCAUUCCUCUACUUAUAAUCCUGGUUAGAGAGAUCAUCCCAAUUUUAAGUAUAGCAACUCAUUUUAUCAGUAAUCACCUUCGAAUCAGAAUUUUCAGCAACUUCAACAGGGAUUCCAGCAUCAGAAUCAACAUUUCCAGCACCCUUACCAACCUGCAAAUCAAUUUCAGCAACAAUUUCAGCCUUAUCAGCAGUUUCCAAAUCAAAAUCAGCAAUGACAAUUCCAGAAUCAGGGUGUUCAGCAAGAGCAAAAUGUAAUUCAAAAUGCACUUCCAGCACCUUCAAGAUUAAGUUUGACUCAAGGAAGUUCUAAUAGCUCUUCAAAUUCGGAUACACAACAGAAGAUGGAUGAUUUGAUGCAACAUAUUUGACAACAGCAGCAAUUGUUUUUACAGCAGCAGCAACAUCCGCAAAGGAUAGAUUCAGCUUUGCAAAACAUUGAAAGACAGAUUAGCCAGCUAGCAAUGAAUAUAAAUCAAAUGCAAGCUCAAGGUUCAAGUAAAUUACCUUCUCAAACAAUGCCAAACCCAAAAAAUGUGAGUACGUUGACUCUUCGAAGUGGAAAAACCAUAACAGAACCAAUAAAAAAUGUUCCAAUUGGAUCAUAUUUUGUUGCACCAAUUCCAGAUUCGCAUUCGAAAGAAUUUGUACCAAGAAAAUUGAAUUCAGAACCCACUCAACCAGUUCAGAUCAGUGGAAGUGAUACAUCAGAACAAACUUCAACAACUUUUUGUUCAGCAGAACAAGAUGGCUCACAUUCAGCUCCAAUUUCAGCUCAAAAUAUAGGGAAAGAAUCACAACAGCAAGGUAUUGAGGUUGCUGUACCAUUACCUUUUCCUCAAAAAAGAGUCCAGCAAAGGAAAAAUGUUGAGGAAGAGAAAGCUAGGGAAUUUCAAGAACUCGUUAAUUUGUUUAGCAAAGUGGAGGUGAAUGUGCCCUUGUUAACCAUAAUAUAACAAGUUCCGAAAUAUGCAAAAUUUCUCAAGGAUGUAUGUUUGCAUAAGAAUAAAUUAAAGGGGAAUGAACUAGUUAGCAUGGGAAAAAAUGUUUCAGCCCUUAUUCAACCCAUUCCUCAGAAGUGUGAUGAUCCAGGAGUUUUCACCGUGCCAUGUACUAUUGGAAAUUAUGUGUUUGAGGACGCUAUGCUGGAUUUAGGAGCUUCUAUUAAUGUAAUGCCGAAAUUAGUUUUUCUAUCAUUGGGAAUUGGUCCUCUAUAGCCUACGGGAGUUGUUAUUCAGUUGGGCAACCGUAGUCAGGCUCAUCCAACUAGAGUGAUUGAGAAUGUUUUGGUUAAAGUGAGUGACCUUAUAUUUCCAGUUGAUUUCUACAUUUUGGAUAUGGAAGGUGAUGUAUUAAUGAGUAGAGCUCCAAUCAUUUUGGGAAGACCAUUCCUUAAGACUGCAAGAACUAAGAUUGAUGUGAAUGCGGGAACUCUAUCUAUGGAGAUUGCUGAUGUAGUUGUUCAAUUCAGUAUUUUUGAUACGAUGCAACAAAAGAAGAGUCAUUCUAUUUUUAGUGUUUAUAAAUCCGAAUGGCUGGAUACUAUUGAUUUUCUUAUUGAUGAAGAUUCUGAUGAAGUUAUCUCAGACUCUAAUGAAUUGGGAUGUAAAUCUAAACAUUCUGGAGGUUGUAUUGAUAACAGGGAAAUAGUUGAGGUAAGACCUAAUUGUGGUCAAACUUCAAUGGAUGAAGAUAUAAGUGUAGGGGAUUGCAUGGAAGCAUUACCCCAAGAAUCACCAAAAAUUGAAUCUAUAAGUGUAGGGGAUUGCAUGGAUGCAUUACCUCAAGAAUCACUACCAUUCAUUGAACAUUCAUCAGAACUUGAUAAGAAAUCACAGGAAAUUUCAAAGGACAUUUCAGAGGAAGUUGUGAAGCCAGUGAGACAACCAAAGGAACUGAUUAACUCAUCGAAUUCUUUUUGUAUUAGCAAUAUUUUUUCUAAUGGUGUUAUAGAGAUGCAGGAGGUGUCUACUGGUCAACCUUUCAAAGUGUAUAGCAACCAACUUAAGAAAUUUCUUCGAGGGAGGAAAUUAAUCUGAGUGGAGAUAGUGAAGCACGUUGAUACUAUCUACCCAAAUUGAAGGGGAGUUCGUUCCAACUUAGGUUUUGUUUUUGCUUUCACACAAAUAAUAAUUCUUUGCUUUCACAACUUAGCUUUUAGUUCGUUUCUUAUAGCUUGCUUAGUUUCUUAAUAAAUUCUUUGUUUACAAAUAAUAAGUUUAGUAUAGGGAAAUAAAUUCUUUACUGUUUACAAUUUCCUUAUAGAACUAAGUUUGAAUUCGGAAUAAAAAAAUGGUACCCCUUGGACAAGUUUUCCUAUAAUAUGUUAGAAGUAGAGAAUGUGAGCUAUAUUUGAGAAUCUAUUUUGGGCUUAAUGUCAUAAAUGGACUUUUAAUUUUCAUAAAGUUUCUACUUAAUGAAGGACACUUGAUUGGUAAAUUGAAAUGAUACUUUUCAUACCUAGUGAGGAUGAGCUUUAAUUGAGUGAUGCACUUGUGUUAUUACACUCUAGAACUUGCUUUGAUUCUUUCAAAACCACAAUCUAAUGGAUUAAAUCAUGUUUAUGAAGGUAAAUCUAUUUGUUUCUUCCUUUCACAUGAAUUCUUGCUAUUCUUCUUGAUAAUCAUCAUACCAAUUUAUGCCUUCUCCUUUGUAAAUCUUUUGGAUGUGGAUACAUGGUUUGUUAUAUGAUGGAUAUUUUGGCAAGGAGGAUUUAGUUGAAGUGUGGGGGAAAGAAUUUUUGGAUGAUAUUUGUGGAUUACAUUUUGGAUGCAUGAAGAAAAUUGGAGUGGUUCAAGAAUGUGAUCUUAGGAAGCUAGAUGGAAAGGAAGUGAGAAUUUUGGCAGCUAAAUGAUGUGUAGUUGACACAAAGUCAGAGGUGCUAUAUGGAAAUUCAUAAAUUGUACUAAACUGUGCUACAUGUCGUAUAAAUGAUGAUCUUGUUUCUCUAUAACUUGCAUGAAUUGUGGACUGUGAAAUAGACACAGAAACAGUGAAGAUUCAGAAAUAAUGAAAAUGGAAGCUUAUGUAUCAAAAGUGUAUCAAGAUUUGGAAGUGUUGUCAAGCAUCAGAUAAAGUUCAAGGGGAAUAUGUCAAUAUGAAUAAACAAAUGGUAUUAAAAGAUCAAUGACUGAAAAGGAAGCAGAUUACAAGUAAUUCAGAAUCUAAAAAUUUCACAUUCUGAAAAUGUACAGAAUUUCAGAACCUGGAGUUGAGGGUUGCAGUUAAAUCUGUUUAUGAUCUGAACUGAAUAGAUGUUGAUGUCAUCUUAAUUCAAUCCGAGACGAAAUGAAGUUUAAGUGUGGGGGAGAGCUUGAGCUUUAUUUGAAGUUGAGCAGUGGAUUUGAAUUCUGGAAUUGAGUGAUGUUGAUAAUGAAACAAGCUGAAAAUUGCUAAAUCUGAUCAAAAUGGAUUAAAUUCGAAAAUCAUUUGUAAGAGCACCAUUCCAUCUCAUUGAUCCAGCAAUCCUGCAGAUUCUUUUGCAAUCAAAUUCUGAAACUUAAAAUGUGAAAUCUGCAGAUUCUUUGGCAGAUUCUGAAGCUUUAUCAAGGCUUGCAUGAUGAAAAGUUUGUAGAGAGAUGAAUUGUUUGGCUGGAUCAAGAACAAUAAUUUUAACCUUAGGCCUGAUGUUUCUGUAAUUCAGGAUAUUUUAAAUAUCAGACCAAAUAGCAGAAACUCUGAAAUCUGAAGAAAAUGGAACUGCAGAUCCAGGAAAUGCAGAAAUGUUAAGUCUUAAUUCAGGAAAAUGCAAUUAUGUAUCAGUUUGGUGCAAAGAUUGUGUUGCAAGUUCUGACCAGUAAUUAUUUCAUUGCUAUUCUAUAUCAUCUUCCUUGCAAGACUAUUCAUGACAAGUUUGCUGAAGAGUUUUCUGAAUAUUGAAAUGCAAUGUAUAUUCUGGAAAUGAAUCUUAAGCUGUAGCAGUGAAGAAAAUGUAGCUUUCGAAAAAGAUUUAUAAAUCUGUUCGUCUGAGAAAAAUCAAAUCAAUCAACACCAUUUUAGGCCUGAUAUGUUAACUAUUAGGCUCAGAAAAAUUCAAGAAAGGGAAGCUGAGUUGCUCACUAUGCAGAAUUGUAUCAGGGAUCUAUAUUGAUUUUCUGAUUGGGAAGGAAUUGAAGACAAACUAUAUCUGAUUGUGUGUAGAAUAAGAAAUUUUAUUGAGGUUAAAGUUUCAAAGUUUGGUCUGAAAUUCUAAGAAGAUCAGAGAAGUGGUACUAAAACAGUAAAAGCUGAAAUUCAGAAUUGAUAUUGUUGUGAACCUGAAAGAGCUUAAGUGAUCAUUGAACAUUCGACUUAGAAAUUCUGUAGUUUUGCAAGUUUUGGAUUCUCUACAAACUGAUUUGUACCAAGUUCAAGUUGGAAAUCAGAAAUGUUGAACAAAAAAUUGCAGGAAACUAAAUUUCAGGUCUAACAGCAACAGUCUGGAAAAUGAAGCUGGAAAACAGAAAUGCAGUGCUAAAAACAGAGAGGCAAAAUGAUGAAACAGUGAGUUCUUUGGAUUUCUUGCUAAUGAAAUUCUGAAAUACUGAAUUUGCAAAUGCUAAAAGAGUAAUCUGAUCAUUGCUGAAAAUUUCAGCCAAUGCAGAAUUCAGGAAGUGCAGGAUUGUGUAUCAAGAUGUAUCAAAGAUCAAGAACAUCACUUAUAUCAGAAUUCCUUUAACUUCUUUGAAUAUGAUUUUACAACCCUGGAACCUUUGAAACUGAAUUUUGGAAAUAUUUAGCUGGAUCCAUUACUUCGAUUCUGUUACUUCAUUGCAGCAACAAGCUGAAACAUAGAUUUUCAGAAACUCUGAAGUCUGAUCAAGCUACUGAAAAUUUCUGAAUGUACAGAAGAACUUAAGGAACUAGAACUUAAACAUUCACUUGCAGGAAUUCAGAAGUGAAUUGCAGUUUUGAUGAUGGAAAAGUUUGUUGGUUUCCUAACAGUUACACAGUAGGGGAAGACAUCUAUUGGCUAUUACCUUGUGAGAAUCAGAGGUUGCAAAGAUAUUGCACAGUGAUGCAUUAAAGAGUUCUGUUUUGCUGGAAACUGAGUUAUAAAGGAUGAAUUGUAUUUAAGAAACAUUCAAGAUUGUAUUAAUAUAAAGGAUUGUAUCAUAAGCUUUGGAAACAAAUGAUUUCAGUUGAAGAUCGAGUUUCCUUAAUGUGUUUCUUAUCGUAUACAUUCUGAAACUGAAAAUGAGUGAAGUACUAAUCUGGGUAGUGCAGAAGAAAUGAAUUUCUGGUCCUUGUUGAAUUCUGAAGGUAGCUGAUCGAAAUGUGAUUCUAGUAAUUAAUUGAUAUGUGAAGUGCUAUUGACAUAUGUUUUUAAGAGAUUCUAAAAAAGGAAAAAAUGUUGACACUGUAAAUACAGAAAUCUGUAGUUUUCUGUGCAGAUUUUGUACAUUUUUUGGAAAAUGUGUUAUAGCAGGCUUGGGUUGUUUAUAUCCAUGUCUGAUCUAAAUGGGGAUUGAUUUCAUUUUUUUUUUAUUGAUUGAAUGUUAAAUGAGGGAAUUGGACAAGUUUAACUAUUCAGUCCUCAAGCUAGAAUGACUUGGAAUUCCAAAUCUUGAUACACUAUGCUAAUUUCUUGAAGUUGCAGAAGGAUGCAGGAAAUCAAGGAAACAGAACACAACAACAAUUACAAAUCUGUUCCUAUCGUUAAUAUAUCAAUUUGAAGAGCAUUUGUUGAAUUUCAUUGCCCGAGACGAGCAAAGAUUUAAGUGUGGGGGAGGGUGUGUAGUUUUUAUUGAGUACUUUGGUACAAGAUGGAAAUACUGAAAUCUGCAAGUGCUGUGCAGAAAUGGGAACAAAGCAACAAAAUAGAAUUUGAAACGGAAUUUUGAAAAAAAAAACAUUCAAGAAACUGUUACUUAUCAGUAUUGCUUUGAAUUGGAUAAAAGGAUUAGGACAUGGAAGUUUAGACAAGAUUAGAUGAAUUGGAUUAAAAAUCCGUUAUAAGUUGGUGAUUUGAAAAUUCUAAAGAUUGAGUCUGAUACAAAAUGUGAAGGCAUGUUUUAGUCUAGAUUCAUGAAAUACAUAGAUCAAUUCCAUUUUAGAAGUUUUGUAGAUACUGAAAGUGGGCUCAUAAUGGUUUUGUAAUGCUGAAUCAGUAGCAUUAAGUGCUGGAAACCGAAAUUCAGUACCUAAAAUUCCUUGAAUCAACUUCUGAAACUUAGUUUGGAAAUUCUUGAACUGUUCCUGAUGAUUCUUGAAACUAUUGAUUACUGAUAUGGUACUAAGUUCUGGAUUAGAAUUUGAUUACAACUUUCAGAGAUGUAGAGCAAAUAGCAGAAAUUUAUCACAUGUCUGUUAAUUAACAAACCUGCAAAUUUAGAAUAGGAAAUCUUUAAUUCAUGACAUGGCUAUUUAGGUUUAUACACCAAGAAAGCAGAGUUCAAACAGAACUGGUACAUUUGAAAUGAAGUUAGGAAGGAAGAAAAUAAGGAAGUAUUGCUGAAAUUCAUUAGAUAGCAUUUUUAUGUAUCCAUGUCUUCCACUGGAACUUAAAUUCAUACUUUCUUUCUUAUCUUUUCUUUGUUGCUAAUUCUUUCUUUUCUUAUCUUUUCUUGCAACUAAUGCUUUAAUGUGCACUUAAUUCAUAUCUCCUAUUUCUUCAUGAUUAACCUUCAUAUUGUGAUUUGUAUUCAUGAUCAUGGUAGAGAGUAGAAGAUAAGCAAGCUUAUGGUAAGGUAAGAAGCACCAGUAGCAUGAGUGCCCUCCAUUUUUUGUAAUUACAUGUGAGAUAGGAAGAGGGCCACAAAAACUCUAUCUUGUGAGGUUUUUAGUGUGAAAUCAAUUUCAAUUUAUUCAUAAUUGAUGGAAAUUAUUAUGUUGUUAACCAAGAGUAAAGUUUGAAGUCCACGAAUGCAUGAGAUUUUGGAAUGUGAUAAUCUUAGAUGGUUUACUUUCUUUAUUUUCUAAUCAUGUUUAGGAAGUUGUUUAGGGGGUGCCAUUUAAGUAGGAUUUUUAGUCUUUCUUUACUCGCACGAGACGUGCAAGAAUAAGUGUGGGAGAUUUGAUAAUUGUCAUUUAUUGAUGUUAUUAUAGCUCUUAUACUCAGCAUUUUCUUAUCCUCUCCUGCAGUUAAAUGUUGUUUAACAUCAUGUUUUACGAGUUAGGAUAUUAUUUGGAGCUUGCUAUAAUUUCUCCCUAAUUUUGGUAAUAUUUCAUGAUUUUUGUAGGGAAUCAAAAGAUGAGAUAAGAAGUUGGUUCAACUUAUUGGAUGAUGAUUCACAUUCAAUUUGACUCCAACUCAUUGAGCUUGAACCAAAUCAAAUUCCUCUCACCAAACCCUAAACCUCAUUUGAACCCAACCGAAACCCACUGUUCACCCGGUUAAAAAACAAGUAUAAAACCCAAUUUCUUCGCAGAUGAACAGUGGCUUGCGCUACUGUUCAUCCGCGACUUCCUUCCUUCCGCGCGAUCGUAGCCCCCAUCCUCUUCCAGAUCUACUUCUCAGCAAGUUUCAUUGGCGUCAGAGCUUUCAUCCGUUGGCUUCCAAGAUUAGAUUGUCUGCACGCGUCGGCAAUUAUCCCUCUGGAGCUCAGAUCUGUGAGUGAUUUCUCUGUUUCAGCCAUCAGCAGAGGAAUUUCUCCGUUGAUAGUGGCUUGCCCUCAAUCUGAGAGUAUCGAUCCAGAGAAUUUAGAUUUCAGAUCUGCAGAAUUUCAAACUUGCAGUUCAGCUCAUCAUCAGCUUUUCCAGAGAAUCCAGCUUGCCAGAUCUGCAAAAUUCUUUGGUGCUGAAGGAGAUUGAACUGAGUUCAAUGGCUGAUAGCUUUUCCUUCAAGUCCGAAGUGAGGUUUCAUUAAGGGUCCUUGUGUGAUGGCAAGGAGAGGCUUGUUAGAAGAGUAGAUUUGAUUAGAGAUGGCUUAGAUUUUAGUUCUGCAGUUUAUUGUUUCUGCAUCUUUGUUUUCUUUAGAUCUUGCUAUCAAAAUUCUUGUUCUCUAAUUCUGAACUAUGUAGUUCUAGUUUUGUUA